GGGGGCGUCACGGUUUCGACGGGGAUAGUUGAAGCUGUAGAAGCGUGCCGAGGUUCCUACAGGCCUCGUAAAAUAGGUAGGAUAAACAUAAUCGCAGACAACUACGAUUACGCCUUAGCCGCAUAAGACGGCUAACGUUCUCCCGGUUCCGCCUGUCGGAUCGGAUGAGGGCGUCAAACAGGCAGGAUUGCCGCUUUACCCAAGCCCGGGGGUAAAGAGGUGAAAUCUUACGGGCUGGCCUUUCUUUCAUCCUGACUCUGGGAGGUUGGAAAGGUGAGAUUAAAUCAGAGGAUACGCACGUAGAAACUGCAGUGGAAUAUUUUCGGACGCGGGUUCGACUCCCGCCGCCUCCACCA
rnacentral:tmRNA from 1 species